rnacentral:lncRNA from 1 species
AUGCCACUGGAAAACAAUAAGAGAUGUGUAAUUAGAAUAAGACCGAAGUUAACAGCAUCUGUGACAACUUCUGUGCUACAUUUGGGAGUCCAUUCCGAUGAGGAGUUUUACAAGGAUUUCUAUGGAUCUUUUGCAUCCUCUUCUGCUGUCCUGUGUUCUGAGACGGGUCUCAUUUCCACCAACAGAUAGAAUUUUGCAUAACACAAAAAGGAACUAAGAAGAGGUUUAAUGCCAAGUACAGAAAGAGGAGGAAAGAAAAGGAGAUAAAAUGAUCUACUGGAAGGAAUAGAGAAGAAGGAAAGCUUGCUUUCUCAUUCAGCUCUUCAAGCCAAGACUUGGCAAAGGAAGGACAGUGCUGUACAAG